GUGUCCGUAGCUCAUCCGGAUAGAGUUCAGGACUCCGACUCCUGAGGUAGAGGGUUCGAAUCCCUCCGGACACACCA
rnacentral:tRNA from 1 species